GUAGUUAAACAUCUCAGUUUUAAUUAUCUGUCUUUAAUACAGAUGUGAUAGGACUUGUUCAGAGAUAAGCAAUUUGAAAAUUAUCCAACCUUUUGUUGCAGAUUCAGACAAAUAAAAAGGAUUGUGUACGCAUAUAGAGCACAAUAAUACCAUGCAAAUAGACAUAUACUUAAUCCUGUUCUUUUUUUUUUAAAUAAAAAAAAUAGUGUUUUUUUCAUGUUAUGCUUCAGCUCUUAAAUUCUGUUCAACACAUUGUAUGGGGCAUUUAAUGAAUUGCUUUAAAAAAAAUCAAAAAUCCUCAUACAGUACUGCUUGAGGAAAUAUGUUGAUCUGUAUUACCCAUUCAAUUUUUUAUUUUACUGGUGUUUAAUAAUUUGUUUAUUUCACAAACGUUUGAUUUGUAUUCUGAUCAUGUUGUUCUUUGAUAAGGUCAGAUUUCUCAUCAACAUGUCUAUCUUAAUUAAGGUCUGUGGUAAUUACCUCAUUGUUGUUCCUUAAAUGGUUCUUAAACCUUUAAAUGCCUCCAAGAAGUAAGAAGUAUUAAGAUAUACGCUUGCCAUUCCAUAUGUUCAUCCAAGAACUUUCAACUGUUCUUAACUGCUUGGUGGAUUCGUUUCGAACUGUCACAGCUGAAUGGCUUGAAUGUUAAGAUUAUGAAAAAAGAAGAGUUUCAGCUGCAACCAGCUGUGGCACUUUUUUAUGUCCCCCGCUAUAUUAGUGGGGACAUAUUGUUUUGCCCUGUCUGUUGGUUGGUCUGUUGGUUGGUCUGUUGGUUGGUUGGUUUGCGCCAACUUUAACAUUUUGCAAUAACUUUUGCAUUAUUGAAUAUAGCAACUUGAUAUUUGGCAUGCAUGUGUAUCUCCUGGAGCUGCACAUUUUGAGUGGUGAAAGGUCAAGGUCAUCCUUCAAGGUCAGAGGUCAAAUAUAUGUGGCCAAAAUCGCUUAUUUUAUGAAUACUUUUGCAAUAUUGAAGAUAGCAACUUGAUAUUUGGCAUGCAUGUGUAUCUCAUGGAGCUGCACAUUUUGAGUGGUGAAAGGUCAAGGUCAAGGUCAUCCUUCAAGGUCAGAGGUCAAAUAUAUGUGGCCCAAAUCGCUUAUUUUAUGAAUACUUUUGCAAUAUUGAAGAUAGCAACUUGAUAUUUGGCAUGCAUGUGUAUCUCAUGGAGCUGCACAUUUUGAGUGGUGAAAGGUCAAGGUCAAGGUCAUCCUUCAAGGUCAAAUAUAUGGGUCAAAAUUGCUCAUGUUAUGUCACUUCUGCAAUAUUGAAGCUAGCAAUUUUAUAUUUGAAAUGCAUGUGUAUCUCAUGGAGCUGCACAUUUUGAGUGGUGACGGGUCAAGGUCUUCCUUCAAGGUCAAACGUCAUAUAGGGGGACAUUGUGUUUCACAAACGCAUCUUGUUUUACUAUCGAAAGUAUAGUUAGAACCAAAUGAAUUUGCUCUAAACUUGGCUUAGACUUCUUGGGAGCUUUUGCUUAACAUUUUACAAUAGAAUGACCUUAACUUAUUUAUUACUAGCGUCUAGACAAAAGGCUUUGGCAAACAGCGUAGACCCAGAUGAGACGCCGCAUGAUGCGGCGUCUCAUCAGGGUCUGUGCUGUUUGCUUAAAGGAGUUUCUUUAAGAAAUAUUUUAAAUAUAGGAAUAAAUAUACUAGACAUCCUUAAUUUUGGAAAUAAAUUGAUGCAAUUUAGAAGGAUGGGAGAGUCCACCAGGCAUUAAAGGGUUAAUUUGUACCAGUAGGUGAUCAUAAAAGUAGAAAGUACCAGAUGGACUUCCUCUGGCUUCUUCACAAAUAUCUUCCAAAAAUGAACUGAACAUGUUCUUUAAAUUUUUUAAACAUAUGAAGUCAGUCAUCAGAAUGCAAGUCCUUUUUGCAUUACACUGUAUAUUGAUUGUUUUAAAAUGAACAUUUAUCACAGAUGAGUUCAUGAUUCAUUCUAAAAUAUUAAAACCACUUUCAUUGUUGUCCAUUUUGUAGAACUUAAGGCCACGACUUUUAUAUUUCUUGGUUUACAAAACCGCCGACCCUAAUUUUUGGAAAAUGGGAAACAAAAUAAAAUCGGAAAAUCGUCUUUUUUUUUAAUAUUUUAUUCCCGACCGCACUUCAAAAUGAGCGAAAUGAGAAAAAAACGAUCCGGUUUGAGUACGGUUGCGAAUAAAAUCAAGUAAGUACAAUCAACGAUUGGUUCACAUAUAUUGCAGAGAUCGGGAUAUUUUUCAAUGUGACACAUUAUGUACCAGUCCUUUUAUGGGCACUUCUCAAAAUUUAUUUCGGGUAAAAAUUACAGACAAUAAGAAAAUCAGCGUCAUUCAAAUGUCGACCCCAUCAAAAUUUAUUUCCGUGUCUGUGACGCAACUAUAUUGUUUAACAUGUUAAUUACAAUGUAUAUUAAACAAACCCGAUAGUAUUUGAUAAUAAGUAUAAGUAAUCCAUUAAAACACUGCCAUUAUUUACGAUAUAUGUGUUUAGGAAUUUUGUAAACACGUCCGCCAUAGUUUAUAGGAACUGUACAGAAAGUUUGGAAAUCGGAACAAAUCGGUAUAUCUCGGAAAAUCAUUGAUAAAUGUAUUUGUCGUUUCAAUGCUUAGGGCCGAGUAAUUUCGGCAAAUCGGAACUCAACUUGUGUAAAACACUAGCUCAAUUAACCGUUAAACUCCGCCUCCGUUCUCUGCAAAAGAUUCGAAGGCGGAGCUAUGCACGUGCUUUUAUUAAAUUGGAGGAUUGCAAUUGAGAAACAAACACACGAUUGGUUCGGCAUGUUGAUUGCUAGACAAAGGAAGCCAAUUUUUUCGGCGCGAAAUUUGUCGCUUAAUUGCUUCCGACAGAAAGCGGCUUUCCUUUGAUGACGUCAAACUGUCAAUUCACACAGACUGCACAUUUUCGGAAGACUUUAACUGACUCCUUGUUUACAAUUCCAGUAAAAAAAAACACUUGCUAACAUUAAACUUUGGAUUAAAUUAUCAAAAUAAAGCAAAAGCGAAGUUGACAAAUAUGAUUAAAUUAAUUCGCGUCAGUUCAAAUAAGACGUGUUGCGUUGUAAAUCAACGAGUUUUCAUGACAACAACUUUGACAAACAUUACCGUGACGACGCAUGGAUCGAUCUACCUCGAUUUUUUUUUUCAUGUACGAUCUCAUAAGUCGAGUAAGAGCAAACACAUACCGGGUAAUUUGUGUAUGAGUAGUUUAUCUUAUAUAAGAUUUAUGCAACGGGCAUCGCAUUGCGUAAUGGUGCGCAUCCAAUUAUGGAAAUGAAGCGCAGUUUUUCGUUUUAAUGGGAGAAGAACGCAUGUCAUGUAAUGGAGUGUUUAAAAUUGCCUGAUGUUGCAUAAGGUGCUGUUAGGACUCAUUUCAUUUGAAGAUAUAGAUGUGUUUCAUUGCAUAAUUUGAUUUUUUGUCUCUGUGUUAAGGUUAUAAAAGAUAUGUUGUCUUUGUUCUGAUGUUAUUAGCAUUAACUUUUUUUUCCAAUGAUGUUUUUUUUUUUUUUUUUCGACCGCCCGAUGGACCAUUUUCAAAAUAAUUUUUGUAAACCAAUAAAAAAAAAGUCGUGGCCUAACUUCUUAUUCCCAAGUUGUAUUAUGGCAUUUUUCUACUCUUUUACAGAGAAAUGUAGCUUCUUAGGUUUAUUUUACCUUCACACUUGCAUGAACAAGUGAUAAGUUACAGUUGGCUGUGCUUAUCCAAUAAAGCGUUAUAGGUACAUUGUACUAGCUUGAUUAAUUGAUUACUUAGCCAAAUGAACAGCAAGUCACUGUUGCUAGAUUGCUGUCUGGGGAUGUCUUAUUCUGGAGUGUUCUAUAUAUUUGAAAGCUCAAAAAAUAGGGGAUGCUACCCUGGUGACACAUGUAAAAUUUUUUCAAAUUAACAUACCGUAAAAACUAUAGUUAUUGUAAUUGGAUGAACCUUCUAAUGAUAUAUCAUUUGGUUCUUUGUUGUUUGUUUACAGAUUAGAAUAGGAUUUUACAAAAUUAUGGAGAUCUUGAUUACAGCAGAUGUUUAUAAAGUUGUAUGUAUAUUUGUGCUUAUGGAUUUAUUUUUUUAUAAAGACAGUUCAGGUGUAAUUUAUAAGAUCUUUACUUAUUGGAAUGUGCAGUAAAAUUGCAUUUGGCUUUUACUGUUGUAUGAUUUUAAUUUUACUAAUUUUAAUUUAUUGAAUGGAAGUGAAUGUUGAUAUAGGAAUUCGUCCUUCUGCAUUUAAAUGAUGUAACUGUAUUUGAAACUCAUUACUAUGCUUUGAUGUUAUUUAUCAUUUUAUUCAUUUAAUACAAAAUGAUUGCAUGGAUUUAAUGCAUGUAUAGUUGUGAACUUAAAAAAACCAGAAAGAACUGUUUAAAAUUAAUAUAAAAAAGAAUAAUACAGGUUAAUAUGUGAAUUAUUUAACAAAUAUCAAGCAUACUUGUACACGUUACAUUAUUAUCCCCACGUUUUUUGGAGAAAAAGUGGGGAUAUUGUAUUGAUGUGCGUCUGUCCAUUCGUCCGUCCGUCCGUCCGUCCUGGCCACCUGCUCCUCCUACACUAUUAGCACUAGAACUUUGAAACUUACAUACAUGGUAGCUAUGAGCAUAUGUGCGACGGUGACAGUGACGGAAUUUUGAUCUGACCCCUGGGUCAAAAGUUAUGGGGGUUGGGGUGGGGCGGGGUCAGAGAUUUUUACUUAUUUUUUUAUGGUAUUUGACAUUAACUUCUUCAUUUCUGCACCGAUUUACUUCAAAUUGAUACUGAGCCUCUGUUAUGACACUAAGGUCAAUCUAAACAAUGCAUGGCCCCAUUACCAACCCUGGGGCGCCCUGGCCACAUAGGCCAUGCCCACCCAAAAUUGCCUUUUACUAUAAUUUCUUCAUUUCUACACCGAUUCACUUCAAAUUGAUACUGAACCUCUCUUAUGACAAUACGGUCAAUCUCAGCUAUGCAUGUCCCCAUUACCAACCCUAUGGCACCCCAACCACAUAGGCCACGCCCACCCAAAAUUGCCUUUUACUAUAAUUUAUUCAUUUCUACACCAAUUCACUUCAAAUUGAUACUGAACCUCUCUUAUGACAAUACGGUCAAUCUCAGCUAUGCAUGGCCCCAUUACAAAGCCUGGGGCGCCCCGCCCACAUAGGCCACGCCCACCCAAAAUUGCCUUUUACUAUAAUUUCUUCAUUUCUACACCAAUUCACUUCAAAUUGAUACUGAACCUCUCUUAUGAUAAUACAGUUAAUCUCAACUAUGCAUGGCCCCAUUACCAAGCCUGGGGCGCCCCGCCCACAUAGGCCACGCCCACCUAAAAUUGCCUUUUACUAUAAUUUCUUCAUUUUUACACUGAUUCACUUCAAAUUGAUACUGGACCUCUUUUAUGACAAUACGGUCAAUCUCCACUAUGCAUGGCGCCAUUACCAACCCUGGGGCGCCCCGCCCACAUAGGCCACGCCCACCCAAAAUUGCCUUUUACUAUAAUUUCUUCAUUUCUACACCGAUUUACUUCAAAUUGAUACUGAACAUCUCUUAUGACAAUACAGUCAAUCUCAACUAUGUAAGGCCCCAUUACCAACCCUGGGUCACCCCACCCAUAAUAGGCCACACCCACCCAAAAUUGUCUUUUACUAUAACUUCUUCAUUUCUACACUGAUUCACUUCUAAUUGAUACUGAACUUCUCUUAUGACAAUACCGUCAAUCUCAACUAUGUAUGGUCCCAUUACCAACCCUGGGGCGCCCCGCCCAUAAUAGGCCACACCCACAUAGGCCACGCCCACCCAAAAUUGCCUUUUACUAUAAUUUCUUCAUUUCUACACUGUUUCACUUCAAAUUGAUACUGAACCUCUCUUAUGACAAUACAGUUAAUCUCAUCUAUGCAUGGCCCCAUUACAAACCCUAGGGCGUCCCGCCCACAUAGGCCACGCCCACCCAAAAUUGCCUUUUACUAUAAUAUCUUCAUUUCUACACCGAUUCACUUCAUAUUGAUACUGGACCUCUAUUAUGACAAUACGGUCAAUCUCAACUAUGCAUGGCACCAUUACCAACCCUGGGGCGCCCCGCCCACAUAGGCCACGCCCACCCAAAAUUGCCUUUUAAUUUAAUUUCUUCUUUUCUACACUGAUUCACUUCAAAUUGAUACUGAACAUCUCUUAUGACAAUAAGGUCAAUCUCAACUAUGUAUGGCCCCUUUACCAACCCUAGGGUGCCCCGCCCAUAAAAGGCGACACCCACCCAAAAUUGUCUUUUACUAUAAUUUCUUCAUUUCUACACCGAUUCACUUCUAAUUGAUACUGAACUUCUCUUAUGACAAUAUGGUCAAUCUCAACUAUGCAUGGACCCAUUACCAACCAUGGGGCGCCCCUGGGUCAAACAUGCGGCGUGGGGAUACGCGUCGGCCUCUGCCGCACCAUUUCUAGUUAUUAUUUAGCGAUUACCUGUAAUAACUGUACAACACUUAUAUACACGUGGUCACACUCAAAUUUAUGUGCAAUAAUUCAAUGUAAUAACAGUUUAACAUCAAAAAGAGGUACUUCCAAAAAAUGUAUCCUUUCAGUUUUAAAUGAUUGUUGCUUAAAAAAACUUAUAAUUACCUUGGUGUAAACUAUCUUUUAGUGCGUCAUACAAUAUUGUUCAUACCAGUAUUUAAGUACAUGAAUGGUGUAAAAUGAUAAUGAUCAGAAUAUAACAGGCCAUUAUUAAAAUAUAUUUGUUUUGAUGUAUUGUUCAUGUAAAGAUUAAUGGUAAUUGUUUAUUUUGGACCGGUUAGCACAUAUGAUAAUUAUUAUAACUGGUAUUUGUUGUUUUGGUUGUCCUGAAAUCCAUUAGUUAAUUUAUUAUAAGAUUAAUCAUUAACUUUGAAAAUGUUCACGAAUUUAUUUAUUCAUGUUUACAUGUGGGCAAGUUGCUUACAAAUUAAGCAUGCUGUUGAAACAUCGGAUAUUAAACGAUCAGAUUUGUCAA